rnacentral:rRNA from 1 species
AUAUUGGACAAUGGGCGAAAGCCUGAUCCAGCAAUGCCGCGUGAGUGAAGAAGGCCUUCGGGUUGUAAAGCUCUUUCAGGUGUGAAGAUGAUGACGGUAACACCAGAAGAAGCCCCGGCUAACUCCGUGCCAGCAGCCGCGGUAAUACGGAGGGGGCGAGCGUUGUUCGGAAUCACUGGGCGUAAAGAGUACGUAGGCGGUUUUGCAAGUCAGAAGUGAAAGCCCAGGGCUUAACCUUGGAACUGCUUUUGAAACUGCAAAACUAGAGGCCCGGAGAGGUUGGCGGAAUUCCGAGUGUAGAGGUGAAAUUCGCAGAUAUUCGGAGGAACACCAGUGGCGUAAGCGGCCAACUGGACGGGAACUGACGCUGAGGUACGAAAGCGUGGGGAGCAAA